rnacentral:misc_RNA from 1 species
GAUGAAGACGCAGCGAAAUGCGAUAAGUAGUGUGAAUUGCAGAAUUCAGUGAAUCAUCGAAUCUUUGAACGCACAUUGCGCCCUUUGGUAUUCCUUAGGGCAUGCCUGUUCGAGCGUCAUUUAAACCUUCAAGCUCAGCUUGGUGUUGGGUGACUGUCCGCUUCACCGCGGACUCGCCUCAAAAUUAUUGGCGGCCGGUACAUUGGCUUCGAGCGCAGCAGAAACGCGAACUCGGGCCCGUCGUAUUGGCUCCCAGAAGCUAUCUUCACAAUUUUGACCUCGGAUCAGGUAGGGAUACCCGCUGAACUUAAGCAUAUCAAUAAGCGGAGGA